rnacentral:lncRNA from 1 species
UUUUUUCUCAUUUCCUUUACUUUUGCCCUUCUCUAUUGUCAUUGGAAAAAAAUUUAGUUAAACAGCAUAAAUUCUGUUUUAAAUUGUUAUCUCCUAGUAUAUCACAGCUCAAGAAUCAUAGCAUUCAACCAUAUUUAACUUGACUAGCUAGCUACAACAAGAUAUCCAACUUUUUUCUAGAUCAUCAACCUAGCUAAACACUCUUAAAAAGAAAAUUCAUAAUUUAAUUUUGAGUGAUCCAAAAUUUGCUUAAGAAAAGAGGUAUUGGACUAUAAAAGUGAAUCUGAAUCACUAAACCAUCCAAUGGAAUCUGAGAGAAAUUAAUCCAAAUACCAUCAAAUGCUGUUAAUAUUCUUAAGCAAUAAUGGUUCACUACUAGAUGUAUAGAUGAAAGAAAAACUAUUUUUUUUAAGAAAAGAAAAUGUACAUGAAUGGAUUAAAUGGCAUAUAAUUCGGCUUAUGCAGCUAUAUAUCCCUCUGGCUAGAAAUCCACACAAAUACAUUUCAUGAAUCUGCAAUGGAGGGAUAAAAUUUCAACCUCUCAAAGAGAAAAACACUAAAUAGAAGACACAAUAUCGAAUCAUAUUCCAUGACUGCGUCGUUGCCAUUGAUGUUGUAUAUCAUCGUCGCAACCCUCAUUGAUUUCUUCUCUAAUGGUCUCCAAUCCUGGUGUAUUUGAAGGUUUUCGUCGAUAGCUGGUUAUAAGUGCAGGAGCAACCUCCAUCCAAGAACGCACAUUUCUAGUUUCUCGUGUCAUUUUUUUUGAAUGGAAAAUCCACGUGAAAGCCAACUAAAAAAGAUUAUAUCAAUCAAAUAAUAAGUUGGAUUUGCUCUCUUCUCCCUUGGCUUUAGGAAGAAAGAGAGAUGAGAAAAAUGAGUUGUUCUUUGAGAAAUAUAAAACUUUUUUAUUUUUUAUUUUUUUAAUGAAUUGAGGAGGAAGUAAAUGCUUGGGAAUUUAUAAAUGUGGAAGCUAGGAAUUAAGGGGGUGAGAAUAAGCAAAUGCUAGAAAAAAAGGACAAAUUAAAGCUUUAUUUUGUGGUUGUUGAAGUAUGUCAAUUGUGAGACUUUUUGUGGCUCCCCG